GACGAACGCUGGCGGCGUGCUUAACACAUGCAAGUCGAACGAGUGGCGAACGGGUGAGUAACACGUGGGUGAUCUGCCUUGCACUUCGGGAUACGCUUGGGAAACUGGGGCUAAUACCGGAUAGUGCAAUCUGAGCUCGCGUACUAUCAGCUUGUUGGUGGGGUAAUGGCUACCAAGGCGCGACGGGUAGCCGGCCUGAGAGGGUGGACGGCCAAGUUGGGACUGAGAUGCGGCCCAGACUCCUACGGUAGGCAGCAGUGGGGAAUAUUGCACAAUGGGCGGAAGACUGAUGCAGCCAUGCCGCGGGUGUGAAGAAGGCCUUCGGGUUGUAAAGCACUUUCAGCGGGGAGGCGUUACCCGCAGAAGAAGCACCGGCUAACUCCGUGCCAGCCGCCGCGGUAAUAC
rnacentral:rRNA from 1 species